rnacentral:lncRNA from 1 species
AUGACACUUUUUAAAGGAAGUGAUGUGGAAGUUGUUCUAGAAGUUAGAUGGACAGUGGGAGCACAUUCGUCUGCCUGUCUGGGCAUAUUGAGGCAGGAGGUUGCUUGCUGCUAUCUUGAAAACCACUGGAAGAUUCAGCUUCUUGGGGACCUCAGAGCCUAUGUUCAUAUGGAAGCCCACCCAUAUAAGCCUCACAGAGCAAAUCACAGCAAUGUUGAAGUUGUUAUUUUCAAGUGCUUAUUUCACGACAUUAAAAAAAAUAUUUUUUCCUGGUGUAUUAAAAUUAAAAAUAAAAUCAUAACUUUUGAUUUAAAAUCAAACUGUGUUUCUGUUUUCUCUCUUACUCUGGGCAAUUUGAAUGGGACAUCUAGGACACUAAGGGUUCCUCAAAUAUUCAGAUAUGCCAUUUCCACCCUUUACACCCAUAGGCGCAGGGCACAGAGAUGAGUCACUAAAACUCCUCACUUUCUAGUAGAGCCCAAAGAUGCUGUAGCCCUCAACUACUACUGACUAAAUGUCCAUAAGAUGUCCAGCCCUUCAGUAAUGCCUUUCAUUCAUUGAUAGAGCAUUUUACAAUUCACAUGCUUUCUACCUCUGUUGGUUCACCAGAGCAGUGUUUUUUUGUUUGUUUUGUUGUUGUUGUUAUUUUGUUUUUUUUUUUUUAGAUGGAGUCGGGCUCUGUCCCCCAGGCUGGAGUGCAGUGGCAAGAUCUCAGCUCACUGUAACCUCUGCCUCCCGGGUUCAAGCGAGUCUUCUGCCUCAGCCUCCUGAGUAGCUGGGAUUACAGGGACACACAACCAUGCCUGGCUAAUUUUUGUAUUUUUAGUAGAGACAGAGUUUCACCAUGUUGGUCAGGCUGGUCUCGAACUCCUGACCUUGUGAUCUGCCUGCCUCGGCCUCCCAAAGUGCUGGAUUACAGGCGUGAGCCACUGUGCCCGGCCACCAGAGCAGCCGUAAUGGGGCAGACAGUCUAAAUUGAAUCUCCAUUUUUAUAGAUGAGGAAAAUGUGCUUGUUAGAUCCAGUGUUACAGAAGUGGAAGGAAUGAGAUUUGGACAUCAUCUUAGCUGGAUUUUGCUGCAGCCAUUCAAUCUUUUGAAAAGAAUGAGAGUAUAAAUGAAUAAAAUGCUAAUACUUGGUACUGACCUUUGCCAUGUCAUUGGACAGAGCGUCUCAGGGUGAAAUAUAUGCUAGGGAAAAUAAUGGGUACAGCAGCUCCUUCUUAGUUAAUGACGCAGUGAGUUACUCACACGCCUGCCAGCUACUAGCAGGAGUAAUCCAAUUCAUCCACUCCCCGAUCCCUAAAUAAUCUAGCCUUCAAAUUCUAGUGUUCUGGAAAGUUCUAUUGCAUAUUUGAUAGGUGAAAUAGUUUGUCAUUCUUCAUGACUUUUUGGCGCAUCGUUACAAUGUGUACAAAAGCAAUGUCCCUAUGGCGUUUAUAUUUAAAACCCAAGAAACCCUUAUUUGUGCAGGUUUCUCACGGCCAAAUUAUUGCCUCUUUUCACAUCUCAGAGUUGUUAAAAUGGAACUUUGCAAUCUAUUUAAUGUAUUUUCUUAACUUAGGGUCAAAUGGGGAAAAAUCCCAUCCUGCCCACAAAGUGUUUUUAUUAACUUCAAAAAGGGAUGGGGAGGGGGAGGAAAAGCAGACUUCAGGGAGCGUUCCUGUUUUGUUACCAAAGUCCCAGAAACCUAACACAGAUGACCAUGCCAUCAUGUAGCUUCUGUUACAUGUCUCACAAUUUUUCUUUAGUUCAGAAAUUAAUAAAGCAUACAUUAAAACAUACAAACAGAUCACUGUCUGGCCAACAAAAAUGCUGUACUUACAGAACUCCAAGACCAAGAUAUAAUAGAGCAUGUUCCUACAAAAGAACAAAAAUGGGCUCACAAUACUAGUAUUUUGGAAAUGUAACCACUCCUGGCUCGUUUUUUUUAAAUUUUUUUUUUUAGAAUAAAUGAAUGGAGGUGGGUGUUCUAAAUCAAUAGGCAAGACAAAUACAGUUAAAAUAACUGAAACAGCUCCCCACUGGUUGGUCUGUAGCUGAUUAAUCUCCAGCCUUGGUAGGUCUGGGACAGGGUCUCGGUUAUUACCACACACUGCUCCCUGAGACCAAAUUGGGAGACCCAGCUGAGUGCAGGGACUUCCACAGUGUGUGUGUGGAGGAGGAGGGGCUAUAUUGUGUCCCCCCAGCCUCACAAAACUAGAUACACACACGUCUAGAAUUACACAUGUGCCCUCUGACUGUAGCACCAUCUCACUAAGCAAAGGACUCCAGGCAAGACGAGAAGCUCUAGGUCAGGAAAGAUUGGACGCUACUGAACUAAAAGAGACUGUUACCUAAUUAUCCCAUUUUAUCCCUUUUAUAUUUUUUAUAUCCAUUUUGUUUGUUUAUUAUUUCUUUUUUGAGACCAGGUCUCGCUCUGUCACCUAGGCUGGAUUGCAGUGGUGCGAUCACGUUUCCCUGCAACCUCAGCCUCUCCAGUAGCUGGGACCACAGGCACGCCACUCUGUAGAGACUGGUCUCCUUAUAUUGCCUAGGCUGGUCUCAAACUCCUAGGCUCAAGCUAUCCUCCCACCUUGGCCUCCCAAAGUGUUGGGAUUACAGGCAUCAGCCACCACGCCUAACCUAUAUCCAUUUUAUGUUUAACUGCUUUUCAUUGUUUUCAUCUAUAUAACAGUUGAAGGAAGGAACCUUUGGGAUUUUGCCUUAUUAUGCAUCACAGAGUAUGUAUUUAUUUGGGGAAAAUCAUACACACACACUAUGAAAGCACCAUGGCAGCCUAAGGGUUACACACAUACCACAGCCCGCUCCUGACACGCCACCGUCUCACCACUGGAUUCUGUCAUCUUUGGUAUUUUCAGCCCCCACUUCCCUGGGUGAAAACCCUGUGCUACACUCUGGGGUUUCACACACAGCUUCCUUUUCUAUUGACUACACUAAUUCCUUUCAUACUAGAGGGAAAACCUAUCCCCCUGGGUAUUUCUCUGCUAUGUUUUAUUUGUGAAAACUCCAGUGAGUAUUUGCUAAGGCUGUUAAUAUCUCUCUACGAAGAAAAGAAAAACAGGGUUCACUAUUCCUUCAUCCUCUACUGCUCACAGUUACAUAUGAGUUACUAUAAAACACCAGAGCUUUUUUGCAAAACAAGCGCUUUUUCUGAAUUAGAAGCAGUUCUAAUUUCAACUUAGUUUUAGAAUAAUUAAAUCGAUAGAACAUAAAUAAAUCUACUGAGCUUUCCAGUAGACUUAGGCCGCCAUAACAACUCAUUUGUUCAUUCACGUCUAACCUAAGUUUCCCUAGGACCCCUCAGUUUACAGAGACAAUUUAAUCCCUCCCUCCCUCCCUCCCUCCCUUCCUCCCUUCCUCCCUUCCUUCCUUCCUUCCUUCCUUCCUUCCUUCCUUCCUUCCUUCCUUCCUUCCUUCCUUCUUGCUUGCUUGCUGGUUUGUAGCUCCCACUGAUGUAGGACCUCUGACUUCCUGCCAAGUCCCUUGCAUCUAAUUCUGGAAAUUGCCAGAUUAAGUCUCGCAGCCUCUACCCGGCAUUUCUUUUACGUGGUCACCCACACCCCACCUCCCAGCCUCCCACCCCUGCCAGGCGCAGCUGCUGUUGCAUCUCUCCAAUGGGCCCUGAAAUCGCUGUGCACAGCCAGGUUCAGCAAGUCUCAGCAGGCAUCCCCCUUCUCCCAGAAAGGCAACGGUUCCUCUGCUCUGCAGUGGGGCAAGAUGUCCCUUUUCUCUUAAUAAUACAUUCUGUGGGAGAAAGCUGGCCCCCCUCGACUCAAGAGCCAGACAUGCAUCCGGGGGGCCGGGGGAGAGAUUCGCGGAAUGGCUACUGUGCUGCGGCAGAAUCUCGACUUCCUCCCCUGCAUGGGUCAAAGCUUCCCUCAGGUUUUGAACUCAUCAGACCUAUUACCUUCUUCCCCAUGGAGGAAUGCCCUUUCUGGAACUUCCUCAGCCCCACUGCAAAUAGACCUGUGGCCACCACACCAGCUUCCCGGACUUGCUCAGACAUAUCUGGGCCCAGCAGAAGUGAGUUCCUUUUCUAGAAGCCCUAGAUCUCCUUAGGGUUCCCUGUUACCUGCCCCACCACAGGCGCGGACGUCCUUGAGAGCCACUUAAAUUCAACCCAGCCACCAUGCUACAUAUGUAAAGAAAUAACAAAGUACAAAAAUACUUAACACAAGUCCUUGCCUUUCCUGUGAAAAUCAGUUUUUUGAAUCGAAAGAUCAAACUGCAGAAAAUCACAAUAAUUACGUGGAUUUUCUCCACUUCUGAUUCAUGGCUAUACACGUGCCCACUUCCUCUUCCUGGGAAGUACAGGCUGGAGCUCCCUGGUAUGUUGUCAGAGCACUGUGCUUUUCUACUUCAUGAGACUUUGACCUCAGUAAAUAUAUACCUAGUUAUUUGUGUACUGUCUAUUCAACAUCUGUCGUCUUCUACAGAUUACAAGCUCUGUAGGAUUGGAAUCAAGUUUGUCUGUUCUCUCCAGAAAUUCCAGGCCCCUGUAGAAGGCUAAAUAUUUGUCGAA